CGGACGGGUGAGUAAUGCCUAGGAAAUUGCCCUGAUGUGGGGGAUAACCAUUGGAAACGAUGGCUAAUACCGCAUAACGCCUACGGGCCAAAGAGGGGGACCUUCGGGCCUCUCGCGUCAGGAUAUGCCUAGGUGGGAUUAGCUAGUUGGUGAGGUAAGGGCUCACCAAGGCGACGAUCCCUAGCUGGUCUGAGAGGAUGAUCAGCCACACUGGAACUGAGACACGGUCCAGACUCCUACGGGAGGCAGCAGUGGGGAAUAUUGCACAAUGGGCGCAAGCCUGAUGCAGCCAUGCCGCGUGUGUGAAGAAGGCCUUCGGGUUGUAAAGCACUUUCAGUCGUGAGGAAGGUAGUGNAGUUAAUAGCUGCNUUAUUUGANGNUAGCGACAGAAGAAGCACCGGCUAACUCCGUGCCAGCAGCCGCGGUA
rnacentral:rRNA from 1 species